AACUCUUAGCGAUGGAUGACUCGACUCUCGUAACGAGGAAGGACGCAGCAAACCGCGAUAAGCAGUAUGACUUGCGAACUCUCGUGAAUCACCAGAUUUCUGAACGCAAUUGUACUCUUGGCUUCGGCCUCGAGUACGCUUGGUUCGGUAUCAUUUAGACUUUCAAAGCAGUCAAGCACUUGGCUUGCCUAGUGCUAUGAUUGCUCUGAGCCUAGAGCCCUCACUCUCUGAGUGUGGGCUGUCGAGAUGAAUCUUUCAGAUUGAGCUAGCUGCCAACUAAGUAGAAUAUACGAUGAGGCAACUUCUCUCUCUUAUGAAAGGUGCUGUUCUUUCUUUUUGAUCCGAACUCAAGCGAGGCUACCCGCUGAAUUUAAGCAUAUUAUUAAGCGGAGGAAAAGAAACCAACAGGGAUUCCCCYAGUAGCGGCGAGCGAAGUGGGA
rnacentral:misc_RNA from 1 species